GGGUGAUCGGCCACACUGGGACUGAGACACGGCCCAGACUCCUACGGGAGGCAGCAGUAGGGAAUCUUCCGCAAUGGACGAAAGUCUGACGGAGCAACGCCGCGUGAGUGAUGAAGGUUUUCGGAUCGUAAAGCUCUGUUGUUAGGGAAGAACAAGUACCGUUCGAAUAGGGCGGUACCUUGACGGUACCUAACCAGAAAGCCACGGCUAACUACGUGCCAGCAGCCGCGGUAAUACGUAGGUGGCAAGCGUUGUCCGGAAUUAUUGGGCGUAAAGGGCUCGCAGGCGGUUCCUUAAGUCUGAUGUGAAAGCCCCCGGCUCAACCGGGGAGGGUCAUUGGAAACUGGGGAACUUGAGUGCAGAAGAGGAGAGUGGAAUUCCACGUGUAGCGGUGAAAUGCGUAGAGAUGUGGAGGAACACCAGUGGCGAAGGCGACUCUCUGGUCUGUAACUGACGCUGAGGAGCGAAAGCGUGGGGAGCGAACAGGAUUAGAUACCCUGGUAGUCCACGCCGUAAACGAUGAGUGCUAAGUGUUA
rnacentral:rRNA from 1 species